AAGACCUCAACUCUGAAAUAUGAAUAAAGGACAGAAAGUUAAAGAAGGUUUUUCUCAGGGCCUGUGUGAAACCAUGCAGAAGACAACCAGGAGAGUCAGAAACGUAUGCGGGUAUCACACCGCCGGGAUGAGACAAGUCAUCAUGAAGCUAGAAUUUUGUGAUAUGAUAGAUUCUGGACUCACAGUGGUCUCCAGCGGAGGCUUCAGCUUGUGGUGAGGGUGUCCUGAACGACGAUGUUCCAUGAAAGGUGCUGCACACGAGUGAUCAUUCUGGGCUCCGCUUCCCUUCCUCUGUCUUCCCAAAGCCUCCAGUAGAAGAGCAAGUGGGAACGGUGCACGUGCCCCAGCAAUGUCCACAAUAGCCAAACUAUGGAAAGAACCUAGAUGUCCAUCAACAGAUGAAUGGAUCAAGAAGAUGUGGUAUAUAUAUACAAUGGAAUACUAUGCAGCCAUCAAAAGAAAUGAAAUCUUGCCAUUUGCGACAACAUGGAUGGAACUAGAGCGUAUCAUGCUUAGCGAAAUAAGUCAAGCAGAGAAAGACAACUAUCAUAUGAUCUCCCUGAUAUGACGAAGUGGUGAUGCAACAUGGGGGCUUAAGUGGGUAGAAGAAGAAUCAAUGAAACAAGAUGGAAUUGGGAGGGAGACAAACCAUAAGUGACUCUUAAUCUCACAAAACAAACUGAGGGUUG